CCUACGGGGGGCAGCAGUAGGGAAUCUUUCACAAUGGGCGAAAGCCUGAUGGAGCAACGCCGCGUGCAGGAUGAAGGCCUUCGGGUUGUAAACUGCUUUUAUAAGCGAGAAAUAUGAUGGUAACUUAUGAAUAAGGAUCGGCUAACUACGUGCCAGCAGCCGCGGUCAUACGUAGGAUCCGAGCAUUAUCCGGAGUGACUGGGUGUAAAGAGUUGCGUAGGUGGCAUAAUAAGUAGCUAGUGAAAUCUGGUGGCUCAACCAUUCAGACUAUUAGCUAAACUGUUAAGCUCGAGACCGUUAGGGGUAACUGGAAUUUCUAGUGUAGGAGUGAAAUCCGUAGAUAUUAGAAAGAACACCAAUAGCGUAGGCAGGUUGCUGGGACGGUUCUGACACUAAGGCACGAAAGCGUAGGGAGCAAACGGGAUUAGAUACCCCUGUAGUC
rnacentral:rRNA from 1 species